UACGGGAGGCAGCAGGGGGGAAUAUUGGACAAUGGGCGGAAGCCUGAUCCAGCCAUGCCGCGUGUGUGAAGAAGGCCUUUUGGUUGUAAAGCACUUUAAGCGAGGAGGAGGCUACUUAGAUUAAUACUCUAGGAUAGUGGACGUUACUCGCAGAAUAAGCACCGGCUAACUCUGUGCCAGCAGCCGCGGUAAUACAGAGGGUGCGAGCGUUAAUCGGAUUUACUGGGCGUAAAGCGUGCGUAGGCGGCUGAUUAAGUCGGAUGUGAAAUCCCUGAGCUUAACUUAGGAAUUGCAUUCGAUACUGGUCAGCUAGAGUAUGGGAGAGGAUGGUAGAAUUCCAGGUGUAGCGGUGAAAUGCGUAGAGAUCUGGAGGAAUACCGAUGGCGAAGGCAGCCAUCUGGCCUAAUACUGACGCUGAGGUACGAAAGCAUGGGGAGCAAACAGGAUUAGAUACCCUGGUAGUCCAUGCCGUAAACGAUGUCUACUAGCCGUUGGGGCCUUUGAGGCUUUAGUGGCGCAGCUAACGCGAUAAGUAGACCGCCUGGGGAGUACGGUCGCAAGACUAAAACUCAAA
rnacentral:rRNA from 1 species